GACGAACCGUGCGAACGUUAUUCGGAAUCACUGGGCUUAAAGCGCGUGUAGGCGGAUGGGUGCGUCGGAACCUGAAAGCCCCCGCUCAACCGGGGAAGUGGGGCCGAAACGACCCGUCUGGAGGGACGUAGGGGGAUCUGGAAGCUUCCGGUGGAGCGGUGAAAUGCGUUGAGAUCGGAAGGAACGCCCGUGGCGAAAGCGAGAUCCUGGACGCUUCUGACGCUGAGACGCGAAAGCUAGGGGAGCAAACGGG
rnacentral:rRNA from 1 species